ensembl:misc_RNA Metazoa_SRP Metazoan signal recognition particle RNA
GCCAGGUGUGGUGGUGUGCACCUGUAGUCCCAGCUACUUGGGAGGCUGAGGUGGGAGGAUCACCUGAGCCCAGGAGGUCUAGGCUGCAGUGAGCCGUGAUCACACCACUACACUCCAGCCUGGGCAAUAGGGUGAAAACCUGUCUGAA